AGACGGAGGGGGCUAGCGUUGUUCGGAAUUACUGGGCGUAAAGCGCGCGUAGGCGGUCCGUUUAGUUAGGCGUGAAAGGCCUGGGCUCAACCCGGGAACUGCGCUUAUUACUGAUAAACUAGAGUCCGGGAGAGGGUGGCGGAAUUCCCAGUGUAGAGGUGAAAUUCGUAGAUAUUGGGAAGAACACCAGUUGCGAAGGCGGCCACCUGGACCGGUACUGACGCUGAGGUGCGAAAGCGUGGGGAGCAAACAGGAUUAGAUACCCCAGUAGUCC
rnacentral:rRNA from 1 species